rnacentral:rRNA from 1 species
AUUGAACGCUGGCGGCAGGCCUAACACAUGCAAGUCGAGCGGAUGAAGGGAGCUUGCUCUUGGAUUCAGCGGCGGACGGGUGAGUAAUUCCUAGGAAUCUGCCUGGUAGAUGGGGAUAACGUCCGGAAACGGGCGCUAAUACCGCAUACGUCCUGAGGGUGAAAGGGGGGGAUCUUCGGACCUCACGCUAUCAGAUGAGCCUAGGUCGGAUUAGCUAGUUGGUUGGGUAAGGGCCUACCAAGGCGACGAUCCGUAACUGGUCUGAGAGGAUGAUCAGUCACACUGGAACUGAGACACGGUCCAGACUCCUACGGGAGGCAGCAGUAGGGAAUAUUGGACAAUGGGCGAAAGCCUGAUCCAGCCAUGCCGCGUGUGUGAAGAAGGUCUUCGGAUUGUAAAGCACUGUUAGUUGGGAGGAAGAGCAGUAAGUUAAUACCUUGCUGUUUUGACGUUACCAACAGAAUAAGCACCGGCUAACUUCGUG